UACGUAGGGGGCAAGCGUUGUCCGGAAUCAUUGGGCGUAAAGCGCGUGUAGGCGGCCCGGUAAGUCCGCUGUGAAAGUCGGGGGCUCAACCCUCGGAUGCCGGUGGAUACUGUCGGGCUAGAGUGCGGGAGAGGCGAGUGGAAUUCCUGGUGUAGCGGUGAAAUGCGCAGAUAUCAGGAGGAACACCAGUAGCGAAGGCAGCUCGCUGGGACGGUACUGACGCUAAGGCGCGAAAGCGUGGGGAGCGAACAGG
rnacentral:rRNA from 1 species